rnacentral:misc_RNA from 1 species
UCCGAGUUGACCCCGGCAGUCUCCUGCGAGUCCCCGCCAUUACGCGCUGGCAACACAGGACAAGGGUUGCGCUCGUUGCGGGACUUAACCCAACAUCUCACGACACGAGCUGACGACAGCCAUGCACCACCUGUCACGGGCCCUAAAGGACACUGUAUUUCUACAGCUUUUCCCGUGAUGUCAAACCCAGGUAAGGUUCUUCGGGUUGCAUCGAAUUAAGCCGCAUGCUCCGCCGCUUGUGCGGGGACCCGUCAAUUCCUUUGAGUUUUAGCCUUGCGGCCGUACUCCCCAGGCGGGACACUUAAUGCGUUAGCUUCGGCACGGCAUUCGUUGAUCAGAACGCCACACCUAGUGUCCAACGUUUACAGCGUGGACUAC